UUUCAAAUUCUGAGAAAAGUACUCUGAUCAUUGGCCUUCCCAAACCCUAAAUUUUUUAUUAUUAUUUCUCUCAUCCUUUUUCUUUUCUUUUUCUUUCUCUCCCUUCCUCUCUAACCCUCAGCCUCCCUCUAUUUCUCUCUCCCCGAACCUCUUCUCUCUCAAUCUCUUAUAAUCUCACAAUCUCCCAACUCCCAACCUCUCACUCUCACUCCGGCGAGUAUCAAACCCCAAGACCACCCCCCUUCGUCUCUUUCAUUUUCGAUGAAGCCCAAGGAGUUCCAAGCCUGCCGCCAUUCUCCAUUGAUACCGGCGAACUCUUGGCCUUCGGCCGAGUUCAUUCAUCUCGAGCUCUCCAAUCUCUCUAUUCUCUUUAUUAUUUCGAUCUCUGGUCGAUUUAGGCCAAGGAGAGGCCGAUUCAAACCGGCUGGAUCUCUGCAACUUCCGGCGAGUUUCUGCAGAUUCUGGUGAGUCCUAGGAUUACCACUUCAGGCCACGGUUAGGCCGGAAUUCUUGGUUUCAUCCCAAAAAUCUCUUUCUCCGUCUCCUCUUCUCAUUUUCGAGUAGGAUGUAGCGUAAGUAAAAGACUCUUGCCUGAAAUAGAAUAACCAUAGCUACACAGUCUUCUGCAUCUCCAGCGGAGGAAUCAUCUUCAUCGUCUGAGGCUACUGCGUCUAAAUCUGCAUCUUUAGAGCUAUCUUUCAUGGAGGCCCAGGGCCCUAUUAUCAAGGCAGUGCCUACUCUCUAUUUCUUUGGUAGGAAAUUGGAGCUGGAAUUCAGAUUUGACAGAGAGCUAUUUGUCGGGUUAGAGCAGACAACGUGGUCGUUUGCAAAGCUCACCUGUAGGGGCAUAGAUGCUAUCAUGACUCCGGCAGACACUAUAGUUUAUCCUCGGUUGGUUGCUCUAUUUUUCCAGCACCUCCGGAUGGAUGAGGAUGAUUGCCAGCUGAUGAACACGACUAUAAAUGGUCAGGAUAUUGAUAUUUCUAUCCCUGCCAUUGCUGCCGCCUGCACAUGUCCCCAUCUCUCACCAAUGGUCGCUGACUCUAAGGAUCCACUUUACCCGAUCAGUCCAGCUUACCUUACUGAGAUGAUUAUGGUUGCUACACUCUCUCCACAGGCUGCCUACUAAGGCAAUAUAUUUGCAGACUGGGUUAAUAUUGAUCCGCGCUACUGGUUCUUAGAUUCUAUGCUACAUCUUAAUGCCUUUCCUUCAAGCCAUGGUACACAAAGGUGGGAGGGGAUUCUGAAGGCCCUAUACAGUUUGAGUCAAGGCUACUGGAUAUCUAUUCCUGCUCUCAUCUAGGAAAUUAUCCACAAGUACUCGGACAAUCUGAUCUUUAAGUACAAUUCCAGAACUGAUGCUUGGCCUUUACCAUUUGGCCAUCUUAUCACACAGAUAUUGAACGAAUGACCAGGGUUAUUCCUUUGACCCAACUGAGAUUGCAAAGCCUGCAGAGUAGAGAGAGAAGAGGGUGUAUGAUAAAAAAUAGUGGACCAAGACCUAUAAUGCUUGCUUGAAGAAUAGGAAGAAUAGAGAGCAGAAAAGGCAGCGAGCUCAGCAGAGAAUAGAGGAGGAGGCAGACGAGGGAUCUCAGGGAUCACCUUUUUCCUUCUGACCUAGAUAGAGGUAACAUACUACUACUUCCACGUCCACAUCACAGCCAGGUCCACUUCUUCCUCCCCAUCCAUCUCAGCAGGCCGACCCCUCAUAUGUCCCUUCUACAGAGCAGAUGCCCUAGGUCGACACUCGCUCCCGUCAUGCCAAUUCAGAUUCCAGCCACAAAGCUGACCUAACUCAAUUACAUUCAGAUUUUACUUCUUUCAGAGCUGACAUGAUGGGAUAACACGAUGAUUUAGCGAGGCGGCAUGAUGACUUAGCUAGGCGAUCUGACGAUCUGGCGAGAGGUGUAGCGGAUGCGAGGAAAGACAUUUCAGAUUUGCGGACAGACAUUCAGACGUCUCUCAGUCGACAUAGCCGGGAGAUGUCAGAUAUGCUCCAGAUCAUUGCAGACAUGCUUGCGCCAGAUGCUUCCCCAUGAUUCCACCUUUCUCUCUCUAUUACUUACUCCAUGAUCUGAUACAUUUUGAUACAUUGAUAUUUCUGGGAUAUUUUGCACUGUUUUGAUGCUUUGCACUUAUUUUAAAUAUUAUUUUGCACUACAUUAGAUACAUUGAUUUUGGAUAUUGGUUUUGGAUUUAUUUAAAUACAUGGGUUUUUGGGAUUUAUGACAUUAUUGAUUUCGGUUUUGGAUAUUCUGAGCUUUAUAUUGUUAUAUGCCAUGGAUUUAUGCCCAGUUUUUCGUUCCAUCUCUCAUUGAUAUCAUUGAUGCAUAUGCUUUGACAGUUGCUAGUGUGACCAUUUUCAGACAGGUUUUUGAAAUCUAAGUUUGGGAAUGCGCUUUCCAAUGUUAAGCUUCCAUUGCCGGGUCAUAUUUGUGACACCCUUAUGGUAUACUAUUUCCAUUAUUUGUUGCCAUUUUUGUACAUUGAGGACAAUGCACAAAUUAAUUUUGGGGGUGUGUUAACAUUUUUUAACAUGUCGCACUUAUUUUCUAUGCAUGUGGUAUAAUUUGAGAGUUUUAGCUAUGAUUUUGAUCUUUUGAGGGUUAUGAUACUUAGAAUUAAAAUUUUAUUGACUUGAGAGUCUAAUACUCCUUGUAUGCAUUGUGAAUGCCAUCUAGUAGUAAAUUUUUCGAAAGAUUGAUAUCUUACUGGCAUUUGUGGUCUACAUCAUCUUGAUCUUGUGAUUGUUUUGAGAUUUACGAUAGGAUUUUACACUAGCAUAGGCACACACUAGCACUUAUUUGUGGGGUACAUGCUUUGUUGAUUAUUAAUUUGGUUAUAUCCCAAUUGAGCUAGUAGUGCUUUGGAAGCUUUCAUUCUUGAUAAAGGUGGACAACAAACCCUUUUCACUAAGUAGCCAGGAUUCUAGCCUCAUCAAGUAUUGAAUUUCUCGCGUCAAAAGGUGGAGGGCCCAAACUCUAGGUUAAAAAAAAAAAAAAAAAAAAAAAAAAAAAAAGAAGAAAAAAAAAGAAAAAAAAAAGUGAGGAUUUCUUACCAAAGGUGAGGAGUAAGAAAUGAUUAGAUGAUGAUUGUUUUGAUUUGUAACCUAGUUGAUUUGAGCUUGUAAGUUCUUAGGGGUGUCUCUACACCUAAUGCCCUAAAGCGGUCUGGUUUGGGAGUCAUUGAUCUAACGCUCGCUUCAUGAAUUUUCUGGAAAGCUUAAGAGAUCACUACAUUGCACCAUGCUUCUAUCUUUGAUCAUUAAAAAAUAAAUAAAUAAAAAAAAAAUCGAGUGGAAAGAAUAACUGCACCUAGUUGAAUGAAACUUUAAUAAAAAGUUCACUCUUUGUCUUGAUGAUUGGUACUAGAUUUGUGUGCUAGCUUGACGCCAGUUGUGACCAUUUCAUUAGUUGGUUAAGAUAACAACAUAUUUGAUACCGGUUCACUUAAAAAGGAUUUUAGAGUUGUUUUGAUUUACAUAAUCAUUCUCUUGAUGUGUGGAGGACCAUAUUUGCUUGCAUAUUGUCAAAAUUUUAGAGAGUUGCUUAGAGAUGGUGGAAAAAUUAGAUACUUGAGGUAGUUUUCUCCCAAUGCUUGUUUUAUAUAUUAGUGCCUCUUUAGUGAGAAAAAGUUUAAUGUUUGUGGGUAUCAUUUCAGGAAACCCUCACAGGACUUCACUCGUCCACUAGGGGUAACCUAGGGGUUUAAAAGGCUUGUUGCAUACGCUAAAUACAAUCGUGUUCCCUACGAAAGUGGCGUUAUCCUUUCAUUGCUUUCUAGUUUAUAGUUAUAUAGUUGUUUAUUUCUAUCUUUUCUUUGUAGUUCAUUGCUAGGGACUAGCAAUAUCUAAAUUUGGAGAUGUGAUAAGUGCUCAAAUGUGAUGCAUUUUAGCACCUAAGUUAGGGUGUUUUAGUCCAUUCAUCUAUCUAACUUUCUCGUUGUAGUUCUAAUUUGUGUUUUUGUCUAUUUCAGGUUAAUAAGGUUCAAACAUGCUAAAAAGAGCCUAUUAACUUAUUUUUGGAGUUAAGGAGAAAAUCUAAAAAAAGUCAGAAAAACUGCACUGGAUGGUCUUCGAUCGAUCAAAGGAUGUCCUGAUCGAUCGAAGAUCUCUUGGAUCGAUCGAAAUGAAGGCGGUGCCAGUUCAGUGGAUAAGGUCUCCAGUUGUCAAAAAUAUCUUUGCCACGUCAUCUUUGAUCGAUCGAAGUAAGCUUCGAUCCAUUGACGCCAACUUUGAUCGAUCAAAGCCCUUGUUAGCAGUGAGCUGUUUAAUUCUCAAGCGCGCCUGAACUCCACCAACUUUUGUAACUGCGAUAUUGUACCAAUCAAAGGCCUAUUUUUGACUUGUUGCCUACUCCAAGAGGCUUGUAUUUAAUUAAAAUUGAACCAAUUGUAUAGGGUUCCAAGAUUUUUGUUACAUUAGUCAUUCCAACUUUUGUUAUAGCUUUUAGAUAAUAUUCUCUCUCUAGAUUAGGGUUUUUGGAGCAAAGCAAAGAGAAAGAAGAUGAUGCCAACAUUGAAGAAAGCCUUUGAGGGUUGGAUGACAAUAACUAUGAGUGGCUAGAUCCUUCUCUUGGGGUUAGAGAUAGCCUCUAGGCUUGCUUCUUAAACCUAGUAUUUUGUGAUUUUUGGGGAUUUAUGUUGUAAAUAAUGUUUUGACCAUGAUUAUAUAUAAAUCUUGAGUUCUACAUGAUUUGUAUGAA